UGACACAGGGAGGUAGUGACAAGAAAUAACAAUACGGGGCUUAAUGUCUUGUAAUUGGAAUGAUGGGAAUUUAAACCUCUUCCAGAGUAUCAAUUGGAGGGCAAGUCUGGUGCCAGCAGCCGCGGUAAUUCCAGCUCCAAUAGCGUAUAUUAAAAUUGUUGCAGUUAAAAAGCUCGUAGUUGAAUUUCUGCUACAUUGCCUAUUCUCCUUUACGAGUUUGGGUCUUUUGUGGCUUAUCUGGGUUCGCUUGCGUUCCCGGUGUUUUACUUUGAGAAAAUUAGAGUGCUCAAAGCAGGCUUUUGCCUUGAAUAGUUUAGCAUGGAAUAAUAAAGUAGGACUUUGGUUCUAUUUUGUUGGUUUUAGGUACCAAAGUAAUGGUUAAUAGGAACAGUUGGGGGCAUUCGUAUUUAA
rnacentral:rRNA from 1 species